rfam:Caenorhabditis elegans chromosome V
CCAACGGCCCUCUUUAGGGCCACAUUUUUAAAAAUCCAAUUUUUCU